UUUCGUACGUUAACUACAUCUGAAAUACAUUUUUACGGCUAUAUUUACGUCUUCAAAGGUUUAAUGUACAUUUUCAACAUCUAGUACGUUCAAAUACGAUUUAAAUUCUGACUCAGGAAAAAUAAAGUAAAAUAAAAAUGUGUAGUAACAUUCUAUAUUCAUAGUUUUCAGUUAAUUAAGAACAGGAAAAAAAUUUAAACCAGUAUUAUCUAUUUUUAGUUUUCUAAAAGAUAAAAAAUUCAUUUUUUCUUUGUCUUUGUUUUGUUCUCUCAUAGACGUCAUUAGAACCGCAGGCUAAAACAUUAAAUGGUUUUAUUAUAGAUAACUUUGUCAUCAUUUAUUUCAUGUUUUUAAUAUUAAAUAAUCUACUAAAAGUAAUCGUUAAAGUCGGUCCGCAGCAAAAAAAAAAAUGCAAAGCUUACGUUAUAUUUUUUCAUUGCUCUUUUUCGGCUUGUUAAUAUACAAUAACAAUAUUGUUUACGGAUGUUUCUGUUACCCACCAAGUACAAAUCAAGAAUUAUAUUGCAAAGCUGACUUUGUUAUAAAAAUGAGAUUGGAAAGAACAGUAGGGGUUCAGUAUUCAUUUUUCGGACCAACAGUACAUCACAUCAAUAUUACAGAAAUUUUUAAGGCUACUGAUGGUGCUAGAAAGGCUUUGGAAUCCAAUAUGUUAUUAGAUUUUAGCAGUGGUACAAGUUGUGAAGUUUCCUUGGAACGCAAUGAAAGUUAUGUUAUUGGAGGAAGAAUAGAUAGUUCUAAAAACGCUAGAAUACAUCUUUGUUAUUUAUUAAUUCAUGGUAUUGAUCAAAUAAAUAAAGAAUAUGAAAAUCUUCGCGAGCAUUAUCUUGAAAACUGUAAAUAAUUAAAAAGAUAAUAAACAGUAUAUGAAAAAAAAUGAACUAUAUGAAUUGAGAAACGACAAGUAAUAUAAUGAUAGUGGUCAGUACAUUCUAUCAUUCUAAACAGUAAUUCUUUAAUUUAUAAUUAAAAUGGAAAUAAUUGAACGAUAAAUAUUGAAAUUUAUUGUCUAUGCAAGGAAAAUUGAUAUUUGAAUUUUAAAAACCGUAACUUAAACAUUAAAAAUUUAUGGCGGUAAUUGUAAAAAUUUAUUUUUUCUGUGCAGAGUAACCUCUGAUUAAAGUUACAUAAUAAUUAUAUUUUAUUAUCUUCUGUAUUAUUGUCUAUACUAAAGUUGCAUAUUCAAUAAAAUAUGUAAUAAAAAAAUAAAAAAGAAGUAGGGGAGGGUGGGGCAGAGCGGCCCCCAUGGGGCAGAGCGGCCCCCCUGAAAUUUUGACCAAAAAAAAAAUUUUUUUUUUUUCGACUAAUUACUAUAAAUCCGAUAUGUUUGCGCAUUUUUACCCCUACGCAUGACAUUUGGGGCAAAAUGGACAAGCCCAAAAUUUUGAAAAGUGAUUUUUUCAUAUUUUUAUCGUCAAAUUAAAAAAAAAUUAUCAUAAUUCCACAUUUCUAGCCCUACGCAUAACACCUGGGGUAAAAUGGAUCAGCCGAAACUUCCGAAAAAAUUAUUUUUUCAUAUUUUUCGGCCGUUUCUCUAUGUAAGAGGCAAAUUUGGUCACUAAAAAUUUAUAAAAAUUAAAUUUUUUUUUUUAGUUGAUAAAUUUUUGAAAUAAAGUAAAAUUAUAGAAUUGAUUUUUUUUUUUAUUAAAUAACAAUUAGUAAUUAAGAUAAUCGAAAGUGAACGAUUUUUUACGCUUUAAAAAAUUUUUUUCGAGUAAUAAAAACCAAAAAUAGUUGUCAAGAGAAAGAAAUACAUUCUUAAUAAUGAAAACAAUUUAAAAAAAAAAAAACCGAAAAAAAAAAUUUUUUUUAUCACUUUUUGAAGGGGGGCCGCUCUGCCCCACAAAAAAAAAAAAAAAAAUUUCAGAAUUUUGGCAAAUG